rnacentral:lncRNA from 1 species
GCUUUGCCAGCAGCGUUGGUCUCUGCUCAUAAUGUUCCUGUUCUGUUGUUGUUUUGGCAGGCUACUAACAUUUUCCUGAGGAAGGAACACAUACAAGGGAGAAGGAACAAUGAACUUGAGAGCAUCAAGCUACUUAAAAAUAAGGUUCACUGCCACCUCCCCCACCAUACUUUACUAGCCCUCAGAAAGCUGAACAGAGGCACCCAGAGGACCGUGAAUAUUGGCAGAACUCCUCAAGAUUGAUUUGUGCAGUGUUGGAAGAUGAUAGUAGGUAACUAGACUCCUCCAAACAACAACCAACUUAAAUUCAAACUAGUGAUUUAUCAACAGAUUGGUGAAUUAGUUUUCUAAUAAUCUAAACAGCUCCUUCUUGUAUUUUGCUCCAGAUACAUCAGCAAGGUCUAUCUGCUUCACAUUUGUGUGGUGGAUUUACUUUUCAUGCACCUGCUAUUACUGUUAUGUUUCACUGACGAGGAGAGGCAGAGAUUUUCUCUUCUAAGCAGUUAUUGAAUUACAUUUAUUUUCCUGUGCUUUUUUUCUCAUCUCUUUCUCUCUCUGGAAAAGAUCUCAGAUUCACA